rnacentral:rRNA from 1 species
GACGAACGCUGGCGGCGUGCUUAACACAUGCAAGUCGAACGGCAAGGCCCUGCUUUUGUGGGGUGCUCGAGUGGCGAACGGGUGAGUAACACGUGAGUAACCUGCCCUUGACUUUGGUAUAACUUCAGGAAACUGGGGCUAAUACCGGAUAGGAGCUCCUGCUGCAUGGUGGGCGUUGGAAAGUUUCGGCGGUUGGGGAUGGACUCGCGGCUUAUCAGCUUGUUGGUGGGGUAGUGGCUUACCAAGGCUUUGACGGGUAGACGGCCUGAGAGGGUGACCGGCCACAUUGGGACUGAGAUACGGCACAGACUCCUACGGGAGGCAGAAGUGGGGAAUAUUGCACAAUGGGCGGAAGCCUGAUGCAGCAACGCCGCGUGCGGGAUGACGGCCUUCGGGUUGUAAACCGCUUUCGCCUGUGACGAAGCGUGAGUGAAGGUAAUGGGUAAAGAAGCACCGGCUAACUACGUG